rnacentral:lncRNA from 1 species
GCCUGGAGGGAUCCAUACCAGAAGGUUAUUUGGGUCAAAAGUGUAUGGAUUUUUGUACCAUAUACUUAAACAAGCUCGAGACACAUCGUAACCAACCAAUGAAAAAUCAGGAUGAUCAAUAUAAGCCAAUUGAGCCUGCAUUUGAGUUCAUUCCAUAGCUAGGUAGACUUCCCAUUUCAUACCACCUCAUUGAUUUGAGCCUUGAGGAAAGG